rnacentral:rRNA from 1 species
AGCGAACGCUGGCGGCAGGCCUAACACAUGCAAGUCGAACGAACUCUUCGGAGUUAGUGGCGGACGGGUGAGUAACACGUGGGAACGUGCCUUUAGGUUCGGAAUAACUCAGGGAAACUUGUGCUAAUACCGAAUGUGCCCUUCGGGGGAAAGAUUUAUCGCCUUUAGAGCGGCCCGCGUCUGAUUAGCUAGUUGGUGAGGUAAAGGCUCACCAAGGCUACGAUCAGUAGCUGGUCUGAGAGGAUGACCAGCCACAUUGGGACUGAGACACGGCCCAAACUCCUACGGGAGGCAGCAGUGGGGAAUCUUGCGCAAUGGGCGAAAGCCUGACGCAGCCAUGCCGCGUGGAUGAUGAAGGUCUUAGGAUUGUAAAAUCCUUUCUCCGGUGAAGAUAAUGACUGUAGCCGGAGAAGAAGCCCCGGCUAACUUCGUGCCAGCCGCCGCCGUAA